GGUCACUAUACCGUGAUGCAUUGCGAUUAUUCCAAUGAAUUAUAUAUUAUUGAUUUUCCACGAGCGGGCGCUUAUUGUUCGCUUGACCUUCACUGUCAAAACAACAAGAGUGAUAAAUAUGGCGGAUUUUGUAAAGCCGAUUCACCGCCAUAAAGCUUCAGUUUUGGCAGGACACGGUCUUCUUUUGGUUCAUUGUGUAUCGUGAGAGCCUAUGCUGUUGGUUCCCAUGGGUUAUCGUACGUUCAGUUUCAAUGUCGUGAGAUUCACAUCAGAAGAAUCGCUAUAUUUGUCUCUAAAAGUUGAUGAAAUCUUCGCCGAUUGCAAUAGCCCAGCAUUGAUAGAGUAUAGAGAUACAUUCCAGUUGUGUUUUUAGGGUAAGUCGUUUGUUUUAAUCCUUAAAGCCAAUACAAAGGCAAUGUAUAUACGCAAUGGUUUUUGCUUUUUCUAUGAUUCACAUUUUUAUAGCCAAUGUUGGUAACAAUAUUUGUGCUUUCUAUUUUGAAUAUAUGCAUAUAUAGAGCUAAAAAAUAGUUUAAGUUAGAGAAGCCAAGACUGUUCAUUUGGUUUGAUCAUAGAGGUUUGAUUACUUUGGUAUUUUAUACGGACUGUUAAUUAAAGUAAUUAACCCAUUGAAUUGCAUCGAGUGGCAUUAAUUGCGCCUUGAUGCACCCUACUUUAUUAUUUUACUCUGUCUAACGCCAGAUUAUUUUACUCUGUCUAAUGGCAGCUGGCCUAUCUGCCCAUGUGCCUAGUUAACCCAUUGAGUCACAUUGUGCCCUCAUGCACCCAACUUUAAUAUUUUGCUUUGUCUAACGCUGGCACUUAAAGGGUUAAACAGAAGAUUGUUUUUUAUAUAUUGCAGUUCUCUGACCUUAGUGAUCUAAGACGAGAUGGAACAGGGCAAUCUUUUACUUUGGGAAUGUUAUUUUGUGGGAUUUCGAUAUUCUGCCAUUGCCACCUUCUCAAACAAUUCAACCUCGAGGUCCAGAUACUGUUGAUGAAGAUUUGGACAGUGUGCUGUCACUACUAAAUUUACAAGGGCAAACUGGAUAUAACUGUGAUCUACAACCAAUAAAUUCUAUGUGCUUGGUGGGUAUUAAUCUACAGUGCAGCAUUGCUGAUUGCAAAAAGUGGACCAUGGGACAUAGGGACAAAGAUGAUCCAAGAAACAAUUAUAACAGUGACUAGAUUACUAGAAUAUUGUAAAUUGAUGUUUGUGAUGUUAUUCUGAGUGUGCAUCCACACCGAGCAAGCUCAAAAGUUUGCCUGACCAUGGUGGGAAUCGAACCUGCAAUUUUUGGGAUAUUAGUCCAAUGCUCUACCAACUGAGCUCAGCUCGGUGUGGAUGCAUACUCUGAGUAACAUCACAAACGUAUUCACCCGAGUAAAUAACACCAACACACACAAGAAGUAUAUUGUAAAUUGUUGUUAUUUUAUUAUGGAUCCCUACAUACCAUAAACCACCGACUAUAAGCCCUGGGCUUAUAUACUUUCGUAAGCGAUUUUUGAUGGGCUUAUACAAGGGUGGGCUUAUAUACGGGGGGGAUCUUAUACAUGGACGACCUUUUGUGUUAGUGUAAUAGUGAUAAACAAGACUUAGUGUUAAACAAGCACAGCAAAAAUUGUGAUUAAUAGUGGUAAUAGUGAUAAAUAACAGUGAUAAACAAGCUAGUGGGCUUAUAUUCGGGGGGGGGGGCUUAGAUUUGGAAUGAGGUGAGCGUUAGUAGAUGUGGUGGGCUUAUGCACGGGGGGGCGCUUAUAGUUGGAGGUUUACGGUAUUUAUUUUAUUACGGAUCCCUACAAUAACAGUGACAUGGAUUACUAGGCUAAUGUAAAUUGUUGUUAUUUUAUUUUAUUAUGGACAAAAUUUCUCCAGAUCCAUGGAUCUUUUUUUGGCAAUAGAUAUCAACUUGAUCAAAGCUUUGUUUUCCUCAAAGGUCCAUUUAUGUUUUUUUCACUGGUGACUUCUCUGACAGAGUCAGCCUGAUCUUUCUGCUAGGAAACUACGAAAAAGUAUGUCAUUUACUAAAAUGGAAAUUGGGGCGCAGAUGACAUAUGAAUAAUCAUACAUGAAUAAUGUUACACUGCAGAAUAAUGUUACACAGAGGUAUUAAGGUGGAGUAAUACAGACAACAAAAUUGCUGCAAUUUGCAACAAAAUCUGAUUUCAACGGAUGUUAAGUGGAAAUGUUGACACAUAACUUAAUCCAAAUCAUAGAAAUGUUGACACAUGUUGCCUCGUACAUGUGUUGAAAUCAGAUUUUGUUGCAAGUUGCAGCAAUUUUGUUGCUCGUAUUUACUCCAGCUUUACACUGAAUAUACAAAGACAAUUUAUAAGAAUAAAAUAGCAAAGAAUAACAGUACAUUUAUAAGUACAAUUUCG
rnacentral:lncRNA from 1 species